rnacentral:rRNA from 1 species
GACGAACGCUGGCGGCGUGCUUAGCACAUGCAAGUCGAACGCUGAAGCCCUUUCGGGGGUGGAUGAGUGGCGAACGGGUGAGUAACACGUGGGUAAUCUGCCCUGCACUCUGGGAUAAGCCUUGGAAACGGGGUCUAAUACCGGAUAGGACACAUCGCCGCAUGGUGUGUGUGUGGAAAGUUCCGGCGGUGCAGGUUGAGCCCGCGGCCUAUCAGCUUGUUGGUGGGGUGAUGGCCUACCAAGGCGACGACGGGUAGCCGGCCUGAGAGGGUGACCGGCCACACUGGGACUGAGACACGGCCCAGACUCCUACGGGAGGCAGCAGUGGGGAAUCUUGCGCAAUGGGCGAAAGCCUGACGCAGCAACGCCGCGUGGGGGAUGACGGCCUUCGGGUUGUAAACCUCUUUCGACCGGGACGAAGGGUGACUGACGGUACCGGUAGAAGAAGCACCGGCUAACUACGCGCCAGCCGCCGCGGUAA